AUAGAGACUCAGAGCUGCAUAUCAAUAAGCGGAGGAAAAGAAACUAACUAGGAUUCCCUUAGUAACGGCGAGUGAUGCGGGAAGAGCUCAAAUUUGAAAUCUUCAAGGUUCUACCUUGACGAAUUGUAGUUUAAAGAAGUGUUUUCUGUUAGAUGAGUUAGGCUAAAAGUUCCUUGGAAUCGGACAUCAUAGAGGGUGAGAAUCCCGUAUUUGACUUAUUCAUUCUAGCGUUGUGAUACACUUUCAAAGAGUCGGAUUGUUUGGGAAUGCAGUCCAAAAUGGGUGGUAAAUUUCAUCUAAAGCUAAAUAUUGGCGAGAGACCGAUAGCGAACAAGUACCGUGAGGGAAAGAUGAAAAGAACUUUGAAAAGAGAGUUAAACAGUAGCGUGAAAUUGUCAAAAGGGAAGCGUUUGACACCAGUGUUGUUUUUCCGAAAAUCAAUUACGAAUGGCUUGAUUUUGUGUUGUAUUGACCUUAUCAGCUUUCUGCACUUUUUUCGAGUCUUUCUUAAUGCACUUUUCGGUUAACAAGUCAACAUCAAUUUCUUUUGUUGUAAAAGAGUAUUCGGAAGGUGGCUUUCUUUUCGGAGAAAGUGUUUAUAGCCCUAUACUUCUACAAUCGGAGAGAUUGAGGUCUGCAGCGUAGAUCCUUCGGGGUUAGAUACACUUGUGCUAAGUUGUAGCUUUUCAUAGACAACUUGUUGACUAUGUUUAGUCAUGCGGCUUACUCGCUUGUGCUAUUUUACCUACGCUUAGGAUGUUGACGAUCAGCUGAGCGCG
rnacentral:rRNA from 1 species